GUUGGUGGAGUGAUUUGUCUGGUUAAUUCCGAUAACGAACGAGACUCUAGCCUACUAAAUAGACUGCUGGUUUUGUUGCCUGCAGAGCUUCUUAGAGGGACUAGUGGCGUUUAGCCACAUGAAGGAGAGCAAUAACAGG
rnacentral:rRNA from 1 species